CACGGGGGGAGCAAGCGUUGUUCGGAAUCACUGGGCGUAAAGGGCGUGUAGGCGGUCAAGUAAGUGGGAUGUGAAAUCCCCCGGCUUACCCGGGGACCGGCAUCCCAUACUGCUUGGCUUGAGUACGGGAGAGGAUGUGGGAAUUCCUGGUGUAGCGGUGAAAUGCGUAGAUAUUAGGAAGAACACCAGUGGCGAAGGCGGCUCACUGGCCCGGUACUGACGCUGAGGCGCGAAAGCGUGGGGAGCAAACAGG
rnacentral:rRNA from 1 species